rnacentral:rRNA from 1 species
UACGGAGGGGGCUAGCGUUGUUCGGAAUUACUGGGCGUAAAGCGCGCGCAGGCGGUCCUUUAAGUCUGAUGUGAAAGCCCACGGCUCAACCGUGGAAGGUCAUUGGAAACUGGGGGACUUGAGUGCAGAAGAGGAAAGUGGAAUUCCAAGUGUAGCGGUGAAAUGCGUAGAGAUUUGGAGGAACACCAGUGGCGAAGGCGACUUUCUGGUCUGUAACUGACGCUGAGGCGCGAAAGCGUGGGGAGCAAACAGG